rnacentral:lncRNA from 1 species
CUUGAAACCCUGCAGCUUUUCUGCUCUUGAUUACAGCUCACCUGUGCCCCAAAACACAAGCCCACCCGUGGGCAGGGUCAGGCCUGGCAGCUGAUGACUGAGGAAGGCUGUUGUGUUGGGACCCCACGGCAGCAUGACAGUGAAGGAAAAUUCAGCGAUGUACCCAGAGUCCCGCAGUCUCCAUGCGAAGGUUAUGUGUGCUCUGAUCGGCGUGUCCUCCGGAGAAGGCAAAGGAUGCACGGAAAUGUUGUCCUGUUUGCGGAAAAAAAGACCAAGAGCUGUUCCCUGAAUGCAAGAGUCUGUCCCUUUGUGCUCCUCCAGCAGCUGGGCACUGUGCGGGUGGAUCAGAGACAGCAGGCGCAAAACGGUGGGUGCAGCGCGAGAGGGUUUCAAGAGAGUGGAUCAUUAGCAAAUUCAAUCAGCUGGCACCGGCGCGGGCUGGCAUGGAGGGCUCCGGCGGUGCCAGGGAGGCUGGUGCCAUGCACAGCUCCCCAGGCUGGCUGCUCACCUCUGCUUCCCCCAGCCAGCCCGCGAUCAGAGCUCCUGCAGUGCAAUCCGCUAAUAACGCGAGGGUCUCUGCUUCCAGGAACGAUCCUCCUGCAGCGGCACAUCAGCGUUUCUUCUCUUGUAACAUCAUUCCUGGAAGUGGUGCGAUGUGACAUGCCCUCACUGCCUGUCUCGGUGUGAAUGAGAACGCAGCAAAGCUCAUGUUUUCCAUUGUUGAAAUACCAGCAUAAAUCUCUCACUAAUGCACUGCUGUCUUUUAUUAUAGUCACUGUGGCAUAGAGAAGUACGUCAAAUCUCUCUGUGUUGGUGCAGUCAGUUGCUGGCAUCGCCCUGACAUGUUGUUUCUUCCCUUAAGAUGGCUUUGUGAAGGGACUCAAAUGAGUUGCUCAGAUUCUGGCAGCACCUCCGCGUGUUUUGACAAAUCUGAGGCUUCAGAGUUGUGCGUGAGAAGGUUCAAAGCAGGGGGAAACCAAGUCCCAGUGGUGGGCUUUGACAAAUCCAGGCCCAUGUCAGUGCUGACGGGGCGGUGGUGAGGAUCCAGGGCAGGGGCACGGGGUGUCCUUCAGCACAUGAGUGGGAGAACGCUGCUCUCGUGCACAGUUACAGUUUUGUUCCACCUUUCCCCUUCACAAGUGAAUCUUUCAGUUGUGUCUGAAGGAUUGCUCACAGAUUGAGGUUUGUGGUUAUUUAAGCAAGUGGUCGUAUAGAGAAAUAAAACCACAGUGAGGUAAGGAAUUUAAUGACUG